AUCGAUUCGCCGGCCUGGAGGUCACCCGGUUGCCCUCCGGGGCCGUCGUCGUCGGCGGCACUCACGCGUGGUUCGAGUGCGCGAUUCGUGA
rnacentral:tRNA from 1 species